rnacentral:rRNA from 1 species
CUCUAGAGAUAGAGUUUGAUCCUGGCUCAGAACGAACGCUGGCAGCGUGGAUGAGGCAUGCAAGUCGAACGAAAUCCGGGCGUGUAGCAAUACAAGCCUGGUGACAGUGGCGAAAGGGUGCGUAACGCGUGGGCAAUCUGCCUCCGAGUUGGGGAUAACCCGCCGAAAGGCGGGCUAAUACCGAAUACGAUGGUGCUGCACAAGCAGCAUUUCUCAAAGGUGGGGAACCGCAAGGUCCUGUCGCUUGGAGAGGAGCCCGCGUCCUAUCAGCUUGUUGGUGAGGUAACGGCUCACCAAGGCUUACGGGUAGCUGGUCUGAGAGGAUGGUCAGCCACACUGGGACUGAGACACUGCCCAGACUCCUACGGGAGGCUGCAGUCGAGGAUCAUUGGCAAUGCGCGAAAGCGUGACCAUGCGACGCUGCGUGGAGGAUGAAGGCCUUCGGGUUGUAAACUCCUGUCAUUCGGGAACAAUCCCCUGAGGAUGAACAAUCCUUAGGGUUGAUGGUACCGGAGGAGGAAGCCACGGCUAACUCUGUGCCAGCAGCCGCGGUAAUACAGAGGUGGCGAGCGUUGUUCGGAUUUACUGGGCGUAAAGGGCGCGUAGGUGGUUCCGCAUGUCGGAUGUGAAAGCCCACUGCUCAACGGUGGAACGGCAUUCGAAACUGUGGAACUUGAGUGCAGGAGAGGAGAGCGGAAUUCUUGGUGUAGCAGUGAAAUGCGUUGAUAUCAAGAGGAACACCGGUGGCGAAAGCGGCUCUCUGGAAUGCAACUGACACUGAUGCGCGAAAGUUGGGGGGAGCAAACAGGAUUAGAUACCCUGGUAGUCCCAACCCUAAACGGUGUACACUUGGUGUAGGAGGAUUUGACCCCUUCUGUGCCGGAGCUAACGCGUUAAGUGUACCGCCUGGGGAGUACGGUCGCAAGAUUAAAACUCAAAGAAAUUGACGGGGGCCCGCACAAGCGGAGGAGCAUGUGGCUUAAUUCGAUGCAACGCGAAGAACCUUACCAGGGCUUGACAUGCAGCUGCACGUCCGGCGAAAGUCGGAUUCCUUCGAGGGUGCUGCACAGGUGCUGCAUGGCUGUCGUCAGUUCGUGCCGUGAGGUGUUGGGUUAAGUCCCGCAACGAACGCAACCCCUGUGUUUAGUUGCCCCCGCCGGUGAUGAGCCGGCGAGCACUCUAAACAGACUGCCCGUGAUAAGCGGGAGGAAGGUGGGGAUGACGUCAAGUCAGUAUGGCCUUUAUGCCCUGGGCUGCACACGUGCUACAAUGGGUGGUACAGAGGGAUGCAAAGCCGCGAGGCCGAGCCAAUCUCCAAAAAGCACCCCCAGUUCAGAUUGAAGGCUGCAACUCGCCUUCAUGAAGUUGGAUUCGCUAGUAAUGGCGCAUCAGCUACGGCGCCGUGAAUACGUUCCCGGGCCUUGUACACACCGCCCGUCACAUCAUGAAAGCCGUCUGCACCCGAAGUCGCUAGUACAACCCGCAAGGGAGGAAGGUGCCUAAGGUGUGGGUGGUGAUUGGGAUGAAGUCGUAACAAGGUAACCAAUCUCGACUG